rnacentral:rRNA from 1 species
UCGAGCGGCAGGGCAGCAAUGCCCCUAGAGCGGCGGACUGGUGAGUAACGCGUGGGUGAUCUACCUUGGGCAUGGGGAUAGCCAUUAGAAAUAGUGGGUAAUACCGAAUACGUUCGUUACCGUGAGGGUAACGAGGAAAGGCGCUACGGCGCCGGCCUGGAGAUGAGCUUGCGUCUGAUUAGCUAGUUGGUGAGGUAAUAGCUCACCAAGGCGAUGAUCGGUAGCCGGCCUGAGAGGGUGUACGGCCACACUGGGACUGAGAUACGGCCCAGACUCCUACGGGAGGCAGCAGCUAAGAAUAUUCCGCAAUGGACGAAAGUCUGACGGAGCGACGCCGCGUGGAUGAUGAAGGCCGAAAGGUUGUAAAGUCCUUUUGCUGGGGA